AGUGAACGCUGGCGGUAGGCCUAACACAUGCAAGUCGAACGGAAGCACAGUAAGAGCUUGCUCUUACGGGUGGCGAGUGGCGGACGGGUGAGGAAUACAUCGGAAUCUACUUUUUCGUGGGGGAUAACGUAGGGAAACUUACGCUAAUACCGCAUACGACCUACGGGUGAAAGCAGGGGAUCUUCGGACCUUGCGCGAUUGAAUGAGCCGAUGUCGGAUUAGCUAGUUGGCGGGGUAAAGGCCCACCAAGGCAACGAUCCGUAGCUGGUCUGAGAGGAUGAUCAGCCACACUGGAACUGAGACACGGUCCAGACUCCUACGGGAGGCAGCAGUGGGGAAUAUUCGACAAUGGGCGCAAGCCUGAUCCAGCCAUACCGCGUGGGUGAAGAAGGCCUUCGGGUUGUAAAGCCCUUUUGUUGGGAAAGAAAAGCAGCAGGUUAAUACCCCGCUGUUCUGACGGUACCCAAAGAAUAAGCACCGGCUAACUUCGUG
rnacentral:rRNA from 1 species